GCUCUGGUGCAUGCUUCUGUUGAGAGAUGCAGUUUCUUUUCAGUGAUGCUGCAGCCUGUUUUGUAGAUCAGAAUACCUUCGUUUGUGUCACUGAGAAGAUCAAGCUGAGCUUGAACCUAAGCUUCCACAAUGGCACAGGAGAAAAAAGUUACUACUCUCUCAUUUUGUCACCUCAAAUAAUCCUGGAAGUCAGUUGGGUAAGCACUCUAACAAGAAACACUGAGUUGAUUGAGUUAGUCUAUUUUAUGGGCAGUUUAAUGUAAGUUUAUCUUUCAUGGUUUCAACAACUUGACUACAACACUUACAUCUCUGUUUAUAAUAUGCACUUGGCAGACAUCAACAGCAGCACACAAUAUGGUGA
rnacentral:lncRNA from 1 species